CUCCCUAAAGGGUCGUUGGAGACUACAACGUUGAUAGGUCAGGUGUGUAAGGACUGCGAGGUCUUGAGCUAACUGAUACUAAUUGCCCGUGAGGCUUAACCAUACAACACCCAAGUAGUU
rnacentral:rRNA from 7 species